GAGUUGGGCGCCAUGGCUGCCUUCUGGGCAGAGUGCAGGGCCUGCCUUAAAUGUUGUGGGGGUUCUGUUCUCAACAAAGGCGUAAGUUGGGAGCGACUGAGCCACUCCAGGAGGAGGUGUGGGCCCACGGCGUGUUGGAGGUGGAGCCACAGGACCUGUCCAUAGGUUGGAUGCUGUGUGGGUGACAGAGAGAAACCGGGGCUCACGGCCUGGGCAGCGGGACGGGCGGAGUCGUCCUCACCUGUGCUGGGGACCCUGUGGGAGCAGCAGGCUUCCGAGCACGUGCUGGACCCCGGCGUCUCCGGCUGCACCGAGUGGUCAGGACAUUGAGGCCGGGUCAGGGAGCGUGAGAUACCGGGACGAGCGGGCCCAGGGCUGAGCCCAGCGGCGUCCGGGUGGGCGGUGGCGUUGAGAUGGGAAUUGGGAAUUGCACCGGUGGUCUCAGGAGGAUGGAAAACCCAAGCAGCAGCUGCACCAGGACCGAGGCAAAGGGACCGCAGUUUAACAGAAAACCCAAAACGAGAGCGAGAAAACGGCCAAACACCCGUGCGAGGAGGAAACCCAAGCUCCGCCGAGCGCGGCGGGUCUGUGCCUUCGCUUCGCUUCCAGCCUCUCGCUUCCUUCUGACCCGACCCCGAGUUCUUUCUCCGGACGGUGUCGAGAACCCGGGCGCCGGCUGGGGCUGGAGUCUCGCUGGCCUCGGAGCGCCCCCGAGCCCUCGGGCGACAGCGAGGCGAGGACCCAGGGAACGCCAGGCCCCCGGACGCGACCCACGCGGCCGCUGCCAGCGGG
rnacentral:lncRNA from 1 species